UACGGGGGGGAGCAAGCGUUGUUCGGAUUUACUGGGCGUAAAGGGCGCGUAGGCGGCCACCGCAAGUCAGUUGUGAAAUCUCCGAGCUUAACUCGGAAAGGUCAACUGAUACUGCGGGGCUAGAGUGCGGAAGGGGGCAACUGGAAUUCUUGGUGUAGCGGUGAAAUGCGUAGAUAUCAAAGAGGAACACCUGCGGCGAAGGCGGGUCUCUGGGCCGACAUUGACGCUGAGGAGCGAAAGCGUGGGGAGCGAACAGG
rnacentral:rRNA from 1 species